CCAGACUCCUACGGGAGGCAGCAGUGGGGAAUAUUGGACAAUGGACCGAGAGUCUGAUCCAGCAAUUCUGUGUGCACGAUGAAGUUUUUCGGAAUGUAAAGUGCCUUCAGUUGGGAAGAAAAAAAUGACGGUACCAACAGAAGAAGUGACGGCUAAAUACGUGCCAGCAGCCGCGGUAAUACGUAUGUCACGAGCGUUAUCCGGAUUUAUUGGGCGUAAAGCGCGUCUAGGUGGUUAUGUAAGUCUGAUGUGAAAAUGCAGGGCUCAACUCUGUAUUGCGUUGGAAACUGUAUAACUAGAGUACUGGAGAGGUAAGCGGAACUACAAGUGUAGAGGUGAAAUUCGUAGAUAUUUGUAGGAAUGCCGAUGGGGAAGCCAGCUUACUGGACAGAUACUGACGCUAAAGCGCGAAAGCGUGGGUAGCAAACAGGAUUAGAUGCCCUGGUAGUCCACGCUGUAAACGAUGAUUACUAGGUGUUGGGGGUCGAACCUCAGCGCCCAAGCAAACGCGAUAAGUAAUCCGCCUGGGGAGUACGUACGCAAGUAUGAAACUCAAAGGAAUUGACGGGGGCCCGCACAAG
rnacentral:rRNA from 1 species